ACAAACUUGGUCAUUUAGAGGAAGUAAAAGUCGUAACAAGGUAACCGUAGGUGAACCUGCGGUUGGAUCAUUACCAAUGAUUGAAUCUAUUUGUAUGGGUUGAGUUACUUUUGACUCCCCUACGAAUAGAUUUCUAUUAACCCUUUGUGCACUGUAAAUGUUUUUCGGGUCUAGAUAUAAAAUAAUAUUUAGACCCGGCAGUAUUUAAACUCCAAUUUUUUUAUACUUUGUCUGAUUUAUUUUUCUAUAUGAAAUUUAAAAAAAAACAACUUUUGACAACGGAUCUCUUGGCUCUCGCAUCGAUGAAGAACGCAGC
rnacentral:misc_RNA from 1 species